GAUGAAGCUGACGUGCUUGCACAUUUGACUGCAUCAAUAAAAAUGUUUGGAGGGAUUGAUAGAUAAAAGAGGCGAUUGGAAAGUCUCCCACCCUCAUGUUCUUUCAGCUUCUUGUCUAGUUCUGUAAAAUUUUCCUGAGAAUAGAAUGGUAGAAACAUCUCUUAAGAAACUGGUCCAUCUUUUCACUACAGUUCUCCCUCUUAUCAAUUCUGCAAGUCAAAGUCUUGCUAACCAUGUUUCUAAGUUCAGCGUCAGUCAUCUUACUCCGAGCAUAACCAAACAC
rnacentral:misc_RNA from 1 species